CCUACGGGUGACUGCAGUGAGGAAUAUUGGUCAAUGGACGGAAGCCUGAACCAGCCAAGCCGCGUGAGGGAAGAAGGUACAACGUAUCGUAAACCUCUUUUGUAAGAGAACAAAGGCGGUGACUAGUCCCCGUAUGAUGGUACCUGACGAAAAAGCAUCGGCUAACUCCUUGCCAGCAGCCGCGGUAAUACGGAGGAUGCGAGCUUUAUCCGGAUUUAUGGGGUUUAAAGGGUGCGCAGGCGUCCUGUUAAGUCAGCGGUAAAAGCCCGGGGCUCACCCCCGGCGAGCCGUUGAAACUGGUGGGCUGGAGUUGGAGAGAAGUACGCGGAAUGCGCGGUGUAGCGGUGAAAUGCUUAGAGAUCGCGCAGAACCCCGAUUGCGAAGGCAGCGUACCGGCUCCAAACUGACGUUGAGGCACGAAAGCGUGGGUAUCGAACAGGAUUAGAUACCCGAGUAGUC
rnacentral:rRNA from 1 species